UACGUAGGGUGCAAGCGUUAAUCGGAAUACUGGGCGUAAAGCGUGCGCAGGCGGUUGUGCAAGCCAGAUGUGAAAUCCCCGGGCUUAACCUGGGAACUGCAUUUGUGACUGCACGGCUAGAGUGUGUCAGAGGGGGGUAGGAUUCCACGUGUAGCAGUGAAAUGCGUAGAGAUGUGGAGGAAUACCGAUGGCGAAGGCAGCCCCCUGGGAUAACGACUGACGCUCAUGCACGAAAGCGUGGGGGAGCAAACAGG
rnacentral:rRNA from 1 species